UGGGACUAUUAUCAGAAGUGCCUGAACUUGUCUUUGGGAAAUCCCGUCAUUCACUCAAGUGCUUCAUGAGGUGCUUUGAUAAUGAAAACAGAAGAAAUCUCAAGGCUUUGCUAUGAUGACAACUAAGAAUGUUAACAGCCUAUUUAAAAAAAAAAAAAAGAUGUAAGGAUUUAGGAAGCUAUGUAUACCCUCACUGUAUCUUCUCAACAGCAGAGUGAGUAGUAUUGCCAAAGGUUCACGCAGAGCAGACAUGAGGAAAACAAUAGCAGUGGACAGUUUGUUCUGUCUCUGGGAUAGAGUUCUGAAGAGGAUCUGAGGCAGACACAUCAGCCUGCAGAGUCCCUAGCCAUGCUAUUUUGAGGGUCCUAGUCUUUAAUGUCUGGCUCCCCAAAUGAGGGAAAUGAAAAAAAUGAAGGGACAGGGAAAGGGGUGGUGGCCCCUUAAGUCCCCUGGAAGUCACAUCAGCCAGAGGGGAAGAAUGGGUGAAUAUGUUGGCCUUCCUAGAGACUGCUCAUCUGGACAGAAUGAGAUGGUGUUAGCAACACAGACUACCUGCCUCUCAACCAUGUCCUGACCGUGUCUAGUGGCCACUUGAGUACACGGUUAUCAUGGAACGCGCAACCCCGCACCAUUGACAACUCUGUUGGGUGGUGACGGUCUUAUGCGCCUGGAGUUCACAACCUGCUUCCCCGUUUCACCCCACAGAUACUGACAACACUUGCAAUAUUUUCUCCAGUUGAUGAUAUGAUUCAUGGGACUGAUUCAACACAAUGCCUGCCAGUGGCCCAAAUCCUGCUGGGGAAAGGCAGUUUCUCGCACACCUCCUUAGGUAUCAUCCUUGCUUUGUUUUUUUUCCCAGAUAACAGCCAACACUGCCGCCCUGAACUAGUGACACGAGACUCCUCCCCAGGGAGCCAGCUACAACUAUUUGAAAUGCACUUUUAGGUGACAUCUUUCUUAUCAAGAAGGGCUCUUAAUAGAAUGCACUUGUUGCCUAACAAGAGAAACUUGGCCUUGAAUGUACAGGACAAAAUCAGGGUUUGUGCAUCACUGUAAAUGAAGGUCAAGAUGCCCUAAUAUGGAAAUACAGUGACAUUCUUUUCUUUAGCAUCUUAUUGUUACUAGACUAAUGAUACCCAGGGAGAGGGGAAAAUGCACAAGAGACCCUAUUUUCCUUCCUUGGUAAUGACUGCUUGUGACCUUGAGCAUGUUGUAGAUGUAAAUCUGAUUAAAAAAUAAAUUUUCUUGAUUAAUCUUUUGAA